rnacentral:misc_RNA from 1 species
GAUGAAGAACGUAGCGAAAUGCGAUAAGUAAUGUGAAUUGCAGAAUUCAGUGAAUCAUCGAAUCUUUGAACGCACAUUGCGCCCGCCAGUAUUCUGGCGGGCAUGCCUGUUCGAGCGUCAUUACAACCCUCAGGCCCCCGGGCCUGGCGUUGGGGAUCGGCGGAGCCCCCCGUGGGCACACGCCGUCCCCCAAAUGCAGUGGCGGUCCCGCCGCAGCUUCCAUCGCGUAGUAGCUAACACCUCGCGACUGGAGAGCGGCGCGGCCACGCCGUAAAACACCCAACUCUUCUGAAGUUGACCUCGAAUCAGGUAGGAAUACCCGCUGAACUUAAGCAUAUCAAUAAGCGGGAGGA